UCCGGGAUGAAGCCAGCCGUACCUGAACUGUCUGAGGAAAAACAUCAUCUCAAAUAAAGCUACUCUGUGAAGUUCUGGAAGACAAGAGUUCCUUUUCAAAAAACAAGACUCAAUUACUACACUAUGUGCAGGUUUUCUCAGUCUCCUAGGUGAGCCACAGUACCCCAAGUGAUUGGAGCACACAUAAUCCCCAACUGGAGAGAUCUAGAGCCUCUGUCAGCUGAAAAAGAAAAUCUAGACUCCAUUUUAAGUGAAGAGCUAUGAAAAGCAUCUAGAGUUCACAGUCCCUGAUUAGUGACGUCAUUAAUAAUGUACAAGGGAAGAAACGGCUACUGCUAUGUAUCCGUCCUAACACCUAAG